UACGUAGGAUGCAAGCGUUGUCCGGAUUUACUGGGCGUAAAGGGCGCGCAGGCGGCCUAUCAAGUCACACGUGAAAGCCCCCGGCUAAACCGGGGAGGGUCGUGUGAGACUGGUAAGCUAGAGUGCAGCAGAGGAUAGUGGAAUUCCCGGUGUAGUGGUGAAAUGCGUAGAGAUCGGGAGGAACACCAGUGGCGAAAGCGGCUAUCUGGGCUGUAACUGACGCUGAGGCGCGAAGGCUAGGGGAG
rnacentral:rRNA from 1 species